AAGGGAAGUGCGCGCCAUAGAACAAGACCCGGCUUGCACCUGGCCAAUCUGCAAAGCACAGUCCUUUCUCCUCCCCUUACUCCAACCCCCCCUAUAAAACCGGACUCUAGGCGGGGUUCGCUCUCUCGGCCACUUGUUUUGCUGUUGUGUCGGGGAGUCUGGUGGACGGGAGCCGAGCUAGCUUAAAAUACAGAUUCUUAUGCUUUUGCAUCGAUUGGCUGGCUCCCUGAUGUGGUUUCUUGGGAAUCUUGAAAUCUGGGCAUAACAGUGCGGACCAGGGGAAUCUGACUGUUUAAUUCCAACAAAGCAUCCCAAAGGCCCGCAGCAGGUGCUCUGAAUGUCAAAGUGAAGAAAUUCAAUGAAGCGCGGGUCAAGGGUGGCAGCAACUAUGACUCUCUUAAGGUAGCCAGAUUGCUCGUCAUCUAAUUAGUGAGGCGCAUGGAUGGAUGAACGAGAUUCCCACUGUCCAU
rnacentral:ncRNA from 1 species